rnacentral:rRNA from 1 species
UAUGGCGGACCGGCGCACGGUGAGUAACGCGUAUCCAACCUAGCCCUUUACUUAUGGGACGAGCCCGUCGAAAGGCGGAUUAAUACCGUAUGUUGUCAUGUUGAUGCAUAUUUUCAUGACCAAGGGCUUCGGCCGGUAAAGGAUGGGGAUGCGUCUGAUUAGCUUGCCGGCGGGGUAACGGCCCACCGGGGCGACGAUCAGUAGGGGUUCUGAGAGGAAGGUCCCCCACAUUGGAACUGAGACACGGUCCAAACUCCUACGGAAGGCAGCAG